rnacentral:rRNA from 1 species
GACGAACGCUGGCGGCGUGCUUAACACAUGCAAGUCGAACGGAAAGGCCCUUCGGGGUACUCGAGUGGCGAACGGGUGAGUAACACGUGGGUGAUCUGCCCUGCACUUUGGGAUAAGCCUGGGAAACUGGGUCUAAUAUCGAAUAUGAUCAUCGGCUUCAUGGUCGGUGGUGGAAAGCUUUUGCGGUGUGGGAUGGGCCCGCGGCCUAUCAGCUUGUUGGUGGGGUAAUGGCCUACCAAGGCGACGACGGGUAGCCGGCCUGAGAGGGUGACCGGCCACACGGGGACUGAGAUACGGCCCAGACUCGUACGGGAGGCAGCAGUGGGGAAUAUUACACAGUGGGCGCGAGCCUGAUGCAGCGACGCCGCGUGAGGGAUGACGGCCUUCGGGUUGUAAACCUCUUUCAGCACAGACGAAGCGCAAGUGACGGUAUGUGCAGAAGAAGGACCGGCCAACUACGUG